GGUCUGUUGGCUUUAAAACUAUAUCCUUUCCUUCAGUCUUGCAUGCAAGUAACCAUACUGAUUGAAAACUGCUGUUGAAGAGCACAAAAAGGAUUGAGGCCAUCAAGCUACAGAUGGUCUUACAAAUGGAACCCCAAACGAGCUCAACUAACAACUUCUACCGAGGACCCCUGGACCAACCAGCUGGCCCUUUGACUGGCCUAAAGAGUUCCCCUCUGGAGGACACUACAACUGCAGGGCCCCUUCUUCACCCCUAUCCAGCAGAAAGUAGCUAGAGCAGUCAUCGCCCAAUUCCCAACAGCAGUUGGGGUGUCCUGUUUAGAGGGGGGAUUGAGAGGUGAAGCCAGCUGGACUUCCUGGGUCGAGUGGGGACUUGGAGAACUUUUCUUUAUAGCUAGAAGAUUGUAAACAUACCAAUCAGUGCUCUGUGUCUAGCUAAAGAAUUGUAAAUGCACCAAUCAGCACUCUAAAAACACACCAAUCAGUGCUCUGUGUCUAGCUAAAGUAUGGUAAAUGCACCAGUCAGCACUCUAUAAAAUGGACCAGUCAGCACUCUGUAAAAUGGACCAAUCAGCACUCUGUAAAAUGGACCAAUCAGCAGGACAUGGACAUGGACAAAUAAGGGAAUAAAAGCUGGCCACCCCAGCCAGCAGCAGCAACCUGCUCGGGUCCCCUUCCACGCUGUGGAAGCUUUGUUUUCUCACUCUUCACAAUAAAUCUUGCUGUUGCUCA